UGGUGUGUGGGAACCUUUAGGAUUUCAUGUUACCUAUGAUGACAGCGGAAAUAUAUAAUAGAACUGCGACUGUGUGCAAGCAUUGUGCAACAUGUAUUCAAUAUGCUAAUGUUAUAUAUAUAUAUGCUGAAGUAUAUUUCUGGAGUGUUAAAGAU